rnacentral:rRNA from 1 species
AACGAACGCUGGCGGCAUGCCUAACACAUGCAAGUCGAACGAGACCUUCGGGUCUAGUGGCGCACGGGUGCGUAACGCGUGGGAAUCUGCCCUUCGGUUGGGAAUAACUGAGAGAAAUUUCAGCUAAUACCUUAUAAUGUCUUCGGACCAAAGAUUUAUCGCCGAGGGAUGAGCCCGCGUAGGAUUAGGUAGUUGGUGGGGUAAUGGCCUACCAAGCCGACGAUCCUUAGCUGGUCUGAGAGGAUGAUCAGCCACACUGGGUCUGAGACACGGCCCAGACUCCUACGGGAGGCAGCAGUGGGGAAUAUUGGACAAUGGGCGAAAGCCUGAUCCAGCAAUGCCGCGUGAGUGAUGAAGGCCUUAGGGUUGUAAAGCUCUUUUACCCGGGAUGAUAAUGACAGUACCGGGAGAAUAAGCUCCGGCUAACUCCGU